UGCUGACGUCACGGCCCCGCGCGCCCGUCCCCAUGGCAACCGCCACUUCCGGCCCCGCCCCGCCGCUCCGCCAACAGCUUCCUCCCGCGCUCCUCACGUGACCGGAAGCGGAAGCGCCAUGGAGCCCCCGGGAGCGGCGGCGGGGCUCGCCCCCAAGCGCCGCGGCCCGGGCCCGGCCCCUCCGCGGAUGGCGGAGCCGCGGCCGCUCUUCGACGACACCAGCGGCGGGGCCGCCCCCCCCCCCCCCACGGCCCGGCCCGGGCCUACGGGGCCCCCCCGGCGGCCCCCCCGGCGUCCUCCGCAUCCCGCCUGCCCCCCCCCGCCGCCGCCUUCCUGGCCGAGCCCGUGUCCAGCCUGGCCGCCGCCUACGGCAGCAGCUUGGCCAGCCAGGGCCGGGACAUCGUGGACCGGAACGUCUGCCCCCUUCCAACUCAGGAUAUUGUAUGAUUCCAAGUGUGGAACCCAGCAUUUGGCCUUGAAUGCCACGCAGCUGGAUGCGGCCCGUUGAUCCAGCCUGUCCAGAUCCCCUUGCCCAGCUUGGUGUCGCCCACGAACUUACAGCGCCCGGUGGGGCCCAUCCAGCCCAGGCACGUGUCACAUGGGACCCUUGGUGACCUCCCUUGGUGACACCCCAGGGGUCCGCCUUAUAUGACUGCAGCUGUGGCUCGGACCCUCAGCGUCGGUGCACGGCAGUGACGGACAGGGCAGGAGCACUGGGCCUUCGAGGAGUCCCCGAGCAUAGCCCACGCCUGCCCGAAGGAGCCUCCGUUUUCUAUUUGAGAACUCUCCCACUCCAGAGGCUCCUUCUGAAUCUGAUGAGGAGGGAGGCAUGCCCCCCAGGCAGCCCAGGCUGGCCUGGCAGGAGACCUGGUCUUCUGAGGGCAGCAACCGGCCAGCAGAGGACAGCUUGCUGGCAGAGGACAGCACCCCGGUAGAGGACAUUUUGCCGGCAGAGGACAGAAGCCCAGCAGAGGACAGCUUGCUGUCAAAGGGCAGCAGCCCGGUAGAGGACAGCAGCCUGGCAGAGGACAGGAGACCAGCAGAGGACAGCUUAGUGGUAGAGAACAGAGGUUUGACAGAGGACAGCAAGAAGGAGUUUGCAGUUGCUGGAUCCCAGUGAGUCGUGAGUCCUCUCUGUACCCCUCCCUGCCACUGUAGGGGUGGACAAAAACACCACCUGAACUCCCACUCCAUCCACUACCCGUCCCAGUCCCCUAAAGUCCCGCUCGAUAGUCUUCAGGCUUCUAUCUUCAGUAGUAUCACUGCCGGCCUGGACUAUCAAAAGACGAUAGUAAUCAGAGGGGAAAACCAGGUUGGGAAGCUUUCUGGCAACGUCCAUGACCCUAGCCCCAGGGAGGCAGCAGACUUCCCUACGGGUAGGGUCAGGCUAACAAAUAGGGCCCUCUGUUCCCCUCACAAGGAAGUUGCCUUCUCAGGGGAACACAGGGAACUUCUCAGGGUCCUUGGUGGCCUCCAAGUUAGCUCAGCGUCAUGGCACCGAGUCACUGUGAAGGAGCUGCUGGAAUAACGAGACAACAACCUAGUUCUAUUAAAAUAUAUAUUGCUCUUU